GGUUAAGUUAGAAAGGGCGCACGGUGGAUGCCUUGGCACUAGGAGCCGAUGAAGGACGGGACGAACACCGAUAUGCUUCGGGGAGCUGUAAGCAAGCUUUGAUCCGGAGAUUUCCGAAUGGGGAAACCCACCACUCGUAAUGGAGUGGUAUCCAUAUCUGAAUACAUAGGAUAUGAGAAGGCAGACCCGGGAACUGAAACAUCUAAGUACCCGGAGGAAGAGAAAGCAAAUGCGAUUCCCUGAGUAGCGGCGAGCGAAACGGGACCAGCCCAAACCAAGAGGCUUGCCUCUUGGGGUUGUAGGACACUCUGUACGGAGUUACAAAGGAACGAGGUAGAUGAAGAGGUCUGGAAAGGCCCGCCAUAGGAGGUAACAGCCCUGUAGUCAAAACUUCGUUCUCUCCUGAGUGGAUCCUGAGUACGGCGGAACACGUGAAAUUCCGUCGGAAUCCGGGAGGACCAUCUCCCAAGGCUAAAUACUCCCUAGUGACCGAUAGUGAACCAGUACCGUGAGGGAAAGGUGAAAAGCACCCCGGAAGGGGAGUGAAAGAGAUCCUGAAACCGUGUGCCUACAAGUAGUCAGAGCCCGUUAACGGGUGAUGGCGUGCCUUUUGUAGAAUGAACCGGCGAGUUACGAUCCCGUGCAAGGUUAAGCAGAAGAUGCGGAGCCGCAGCGAAAGCGAGUCUGAAUAGGGCGAAUUGAGUACGUGGUCGUAGACCCGAAACCAGGUGAUCUACCCAUGUCCAGGGUGAAGUUCAGGUAACACUGAAUGGAGGCCCGAACCCACGCACGUUGAAAAGUGCGGGGAUGAGGUGUGGGUAGGGGUGAAAUGCCAAUCGAACCUGGAGAUAGCUGGUUCUCUCCGAAAUAGCUUUAGGGCUAGCCUCAAGGUAAGAGUCUCGGAGGUAGAGCACUGAUUGGACUAGGGGCCCCUACCGGGUUACCGAAUUCAGUCAAACUCCGAAUGCCGAUGACUUAUCCUUGGGAGUCAGACUGCGAGUGAUAAGAUCCGUAGUCGAAAGGGAAACAGCCCAGACCGCCAGCUAAGGUCCCAAAGUAUACGUUAAGUGGAAAAGGAUGUGGAGUUGCUUAGACAACCAGGAUGUUGGCUUAGAAGCAGCCACCAUUUAAAGAGUGCGUAAUAGCUCACUGGUCGAGUGACUCUGCGCCGAAAAUGUACCGGGCUAAACGUAUCACCGAAGCUGCGGACUGUUCUUCGAACAGUGGUAGGAGAGCGUUCUAAGGGCUGUGAAGCAAGACCGGAAGGACUUGUGGAGCGCUUAGAAGUGAGAAUGCCGGUAUGAGUAGCGAAAGAGGGGUGAGAAUCCCCUCCACCGAAUGCCUAAGGUUUCCUGAGGAAGGCUCGUCCGCUCAGGGUUAGUCGGGACCUAAGCCGAGGCCGAAAGGCGUAGGCGAUGGAUAACAGGUUGAUAUUCCUGUACCACCUCCUCACCAUUUGAGCAAUGGGGGGACGCAGGAGGAUAGGGUAAGCGCGGUAUUGGAUAUCCGCGUCCAAGCAGUUAGGCUGGGAAAUAGGCAAAUCCGUUUCCCGUGAAGGCUGAGCUGUGAUGGCGAGCGAAUUAUAGUAGCGAAGUUCCUGAUUCCACACUGCCAAGAAAAGCCUCUAGCGAGGUGAGAGGUGCCCGUACCGCAAACCGACACAGGUAGGCGAGGAGAGAAUCCUAAGGUGAUCGAGAGAACUCUCGUUAAGGAACUCGGCAAAAUGACCCCGUAACUUCGGGAGAAGGGGUGCUCUGUUAGGGUGCAAGCCCGAGAGAGCCGCAGUGAAUAGGCCCAGGCGACUGUUUAGCAAAAACACAGGUCUCUGCGAAGCCGUAAGGCGAAGUAUAGGGGCUGACGCCUGCCCGGUGCUGGAAGGUUAAGAGGAGCGCUUAGCGUAAGCGAAGGUGCGAAUUGAAGCCCCAGUAAACGGCGGCCGUAACUAUAACGGUCCUAAGGUAGCGAAAUUCCUUGUCGGGUAAGUUCCGACCCGCACGAAAGGCGCAACGAUCUGGGCACUGUCUCAACGAGAGACUCGGUGAAAUUAUAGUACCUGUGAAGAUGCAGGUUACCCGCGACAGGACGGAAAGACCCCGUGGAGCUUUACUGCAGCCUGAUAUUGAAUGUUGGUACAGCUUGUACAGGAUAGGUAGGAGCCUUGGAAACCGGAGCGCCAGCUUCGGUGGAGGCAUCGGUGGGAUACUACCCUGGCUGUAUUGACCUUCUAACCCGCCGCCCUUAUCGGGCGGGGAGACAGUGUCAGGUGGGCAGUUUGACUGGGGCGGUCGCCUCCUAAAAGGUAACGGAGGCGCCCAAAGGUUCCCUCAGAAUGGUUGGAAAUCAUUCGCAGAGUGUAAAGGCACAAGGGAGCUUGACUGCGAGACCUACAAGUCGAGCAGGGACGAAAGUCGGGCUUAGUGAUCCGGUGGUUCCGCAUGGAAGGGCCAUCGCUCAACGGAUAAAAGCUACCCCGGGAUAACAGGCUUAUCUCCCCCAAGAGUCCACAUCGACGGGGAGGUUUGGCACCUCGAUGUCGGCUCAUCGCAUCCUGGGGCUGUAGUCGGUCCCAAGGGUUGGGCUGUUCGCCCAUUAAAGCGGUACGCGAGCUGGGUUCAGAACGUCGUGAGACAGUUCGGUCCCUAUCCGUCGCGGGCGCAGGAAAUUUGAGAGGAGCUGUCCUUAGUACGAGAGGACCGGGAUGGACGCACCGCUGGUGUACCAGUUGUUCUGCCAAGGGCAUCGCUGGGUAGCUAUGUGCGGACGGGAUAAGUGCUGAAAGCAUCUAAGCAUGAAGCCCCCCUCAAGAUGAGAUUUCCCAUUCCGCAAGGAAGUAAGAUCCCUGAAAGAUGAUCAGGUUGAUAGGUCUGAGGUGGAAGUGUGGCGACACAUGGAGCUGACAGAUACUAAUCGAUCGAGGACUUAACCAA
rnacentral:rRNA from 1 species